AUGUCUCCGCAGCCGCACUUCCUCGUGCUCACGUUCCCGCUCCAGGGCCACAUCGCGCCGGCGCUCCGCCUCGCCCGGCGCCUGCUCGCCACCGCGCCCGACGCGCUCGCCACGUUCUCCACCACCGAAGCAGCGCACCGCCGCAUGUUCCCGGCGGACGCGGACGCGGCCGACGGCGGCGGUGAUGGCGGCCGCCUCGAGCUCCUCCCGUUCUCGGACGGCACCGGGACCGGGUACGUCCGGAGCAGCACCGACCCCGCGGCCUUCACCGACUACAUGGCGUCCUUCCAGGCCGCGGGCGCGCGCAGCGUCGGGGAGCUGGUGGACGCGCUCGCCGCGCGCGGCCGCCCCGUGACCCGCGUCGUGUACACGAUGCUCCUCCCGUGGGCCGCGGACGUGGCGCGCGACAAAGGCCUGCCGUCCGCGCUCUACUGGAUCCAGCCGGCCGCCGUGCUCGCCGUCUACUACCACUACUUCCAUGGCCACGCCGCCGUCGUGGCCGACCACCGCCACGACCCGUCGUUCCUCGUGCGCUUCCCGGGCCUCCCGCCGCAGGCCGUGCGGGACCUCCCGUCCUUCCUCACCGACUCCACCGACCCGUCCGACUUCUUCCACAGCGUGUACACUACCGUCCGCGACCUGUUCGACACGCUCGACAGGGAGACCCCCAGAGCCACCGUGCUGGUCAACACGUGCCAGGAACUCGAGGAGGGCGCGCUCGCCGCGGUGGCAGCGUACGACGCGCUGCCGAUCGGCCCGGUGCUCCCGUCCCGCGACGAGGCCGGCCUCUUCAAGCAGGACGGCGCCAAGUACAUGGAGUGGCUCGACGACAAACCGGCCGACUCCGUGGUGUACGUCGCGUUCGGCAGCCUGGCGAGGAUGGAGAGGGAGCAGCUCGACGAGCUGCUCCUCGGACUCGAGGACACCGGGAGGCCGUACCUGUGCGUCGUCCGGAAGGACAUCAAGGCGGAGCUCGCGGAUGGCGAGGCGACGGAGACGGAGAUGGACGCGCCGCUCAAGAACGGCAUGGUGGUGGAGUGGUGCGACCAAGUGCGCGUGCUGUCGCACGCGGCGGUGGGCUGCUUCGUGACGCACUGCGGGUGGAACUCCGUGAUGGAGAGCGUGGCGUGCGGCGUGCCGAUGGUGUGCGUGCCGAAGAUGUCGGACCAGCGGAUGAACGCGUGGCUCGUCGAGUGCGAGUGGCGCGUGGGAGCGCGCGCGGAGGUGGGCGGCGACGGCGUGCUGCGCGCUGCCGAGGUGAGGCGGCGUGUGGAGGAGGUGAUGCGGGAGGGCGAGGCCGCGGGGGGCGCACGGCGCGCGGCGUCAGAGUGGAAGCGGGCGGUCGUGGAGGCUCUGGGGGAAGGUGGUUCGUCGGAUCGUAAUCUAAGGGCAUUCCUCGAGGGCAACACUAGUGGUGUCUCCUUGUGA
rnacentral:rRNA from 1 species